AUCACUAAUAUUUUCAAAUGAUGACACUUGCACUGAUUUAUCAUAAGUAUUAUGCGUUUCAUUUAUAUUUACUCCUAAUUGAAUGUCUUCGCAUAAAUUAUUUAUUGGUUCUUGCUCAUCGCUGAUGAAAGAUUCCGAUGCUAAUUUUCUUUUUUUCCAACGAUUAAAACGAUCCAGAUUAUUAUUUGAAGGCUUCUGUCGUUUGUAUUCAGUUGGUAAAAUUGUUGGACUAUAUGCUGGAUGUCGAGGAUCUUCAGAUUUGUUACCACCAACAAAAUGAUUACUACAUAUUCUUGAAUAAUUACACAUAUCAGACUUACUUAAUACGAUUUACUGCUUUUAUCCAUGUUUGUCGACGUUUUAAUAAAUGUGGUUUUAACGGAAAUGAAUAAAAUUUUAUAUUUGAAUUUGUUUUACCUAAAAUAUGGUCACCUGAAUAUUUAUUCCAUAAAACUAUAAAUAUCAGAAAUUAAUAAUUGUUAAAAAAUUAAUUAAUUAUUAAUGAAUUUAUCAUAGAGUUUAAUGUUUACAAACAGCUCAUGCUCACAUGAGAACUUAUAAAAUUCCCGAAAGAGGCGUCACCAGGCUUCAUGCAGGUUCUCUAUCCUCGAAUUCAUUUAAAUUACAAAGAGAAAAAAAUAUAUAUAAAACAAAAGUAUACAAAAAUUAACUAGAAUAGAGAAAUCUAUAAUAGUUUCGAGUAUUUGAUAAGUGAUCGUGGGUGUAAUUGCUAGAAAGCAUUGUGAAAUUUUCAUAAUUGUGUAGUGAAUCAAUAAAUAUUAAAGAAAAAAAAAAUUUAAUAUAAAAUAAAACGGAAAUUGUUAUUAUUUCAAUUAUUUUAUAAGUGAACCUCCUUGUGCAGCUUUCAGAGGCAUAGGGUAGUUUAAGUGCGGACGUGUACAGAGUUAAUAAAUAAAGACAAAUUUUUAAAUCAUAAUAAAAAUAAAAAAAAAAAAAAAGAAUUUGAAUAAGAGAGAAUCUUCUCCGUUUUUCCUUUUGGAAAAUUUCAAAUUUUAAAAUAAAUGAAGAAUAAAUAUAAAAACAACCACAACGAAAGUAAAUAUAGCGAAAAGAGAAGGAGUAAGUCAUAUUAUCAACUAGCCGAGAACCAGAGGGAGAUCCCUAGGAUCCAAGGACGCAGGGUUCCUGGACCAACAGCCAUUCAAGGUAGUACGAUUAGCAGAGAGGAAUAAAAGAAAAAUCUGCACCUGCAAAGUAGAUUACUUUUUACGGAUAUUUUCCAAAAUAUGAAGAACUUUGAAAGAAUAAAGACGAAUUUAAAAAAAAUCAGAAUAUAAGAAUAACAACUAAAACUUCGGUACAACAAAAAAAAAACUGAGCAUAAAUAAAAUUUCUAUCGAAAACUUUAUGACUGAAAUUAUGAAUGCAAACUUCACACAGUUGAUAAAAAUAAAGUUGGCAUGGCCACAAUAGAGCGGUGACAAUGGACGAAUGAACGGGUUUCCCAAUCUAAAAUUUUUUGAGCCAUUAAAGUGCCAGAAGUAGAUGAAGUAGAGUAUAAACCACUAUGUUUGUAUUGUCGCUCAGCCGAGACAAAUGUCCAAGUUUUGGAGUGCAAGCAUUUUAAAGGAUGCUACGAUUGCUGGCUCAAUGACUACUGGGUCAAUAAACGAAGAACAUGCCCGAUGUGCCGAACGGCAUAUAUGUGCGAUUUUCAAUAACCACGAUAACAUAAAAAAAUGUUUACCAUUUAAUGGCAUUGUCCAUUGGCAAAUUCGAUUACCUGCAUUAGAAACAUCUCAUCGAAAUCCUUGGAUUAUGUUUCUUACCUAUUGAUUAUCCACUAAUAAUAUUAUUUAAAGUUAAAUAUUUUAUAAGAUAAAUCAACAACUAAAAAAGCAAAUAAAGUGAUGAAGGCGGUUUUUGAUACUCUAAGAAUAAUUGCUAAGGAGAUCAACUUAGUGUACUUGUAUAGUAAAUCUUUACAGCAGAGUGUUCAACCAUAAUGACUGGUGAAGCUACUUUUAACAAAAAAAAAAAAAAAAAUCAAAGAUUUUUUUUUUUUUAAGCAUAAUAAUGAAUUCCUAAUUCCUAUGAACGAAAAUAAAGCUAUACGUAAUUUAGCUGCAGUUUCUUAAAUAUUUAUCCAUUUGUUUUACUGAUUUGUUUUAGUGUUUUAGUCUGAGAAUAUUUGUUAAAAAAAUAGACCGCAAUAUACUUAUAUGAAGUAUCUUGACCGCAGAAUGUUGGAUAAUUAUGAUUGGUAAAACUACUUAUCAAUCGAAAAUGAAAAAAAAAUCGUUUUUAAGUAUAAUAAUUUAGUUUAAUAAACAAAAGUUAGGUUAAAUGUAUUUUAGCUAGAUUUUCUUGAAUAUUGACUCAUAAAACAGUGAAUAAUUGGCAAAUCUAUUUUUUCAUAUCGAUUUAACAUAGAUUAGUUUUUUUGCGAAUCUCGUUAUGUAAUCAUUUUUAUUUUUGUUAUAGUACAUAUUAAAUAUUAAUUUAAAAAAAUUUUGGUAAAUCCAAAAGUGCACGACUCAUAAUCCUCAUUUAUUAUGAAAUAAUAAUAAUAAAAUAGAUUAGAAAAAAAAAAAAAAAAUUCAGGCUUACCAAUUAGCAAAAAAAAAACAGCUGUACAUACUAGGACGUUAAUGCGCAAGCGCCCCUGGUGGAAUAAACGUACGUAUAACGUAUAGGUAUAGAUAUAUCAUCAUCCAUGUUAACUUUACAUAGAUAUAUAUAGAUAUAGUUGUACAGCCUUUUUUUAUUCUUUUAUUAAUUGUAAUUAAACGACACUGAGUUACCUAGCCAUUCGCAAUAGGAGACCUACAAAUCUUUCAAAGAAUUAAAAAAAAAAAAAUUGUUUCUAUUACUGGUUUUUUUCGCAAGUUAUCAUGUAUACGGGAUCCGUACUUGACGGACAGGAUAUUUUUUUAAACUAUUUUGAUGUUUUUUCCGGUUUUUAUCAAACUAAAUACAUUUUUGAAAAGUAUUGAAUUAAUCUCCAUUGAAUUAUCUUCAAAAUAGUAUGCAACAAAUCUUAAUUCCGUGAACUAACAAAGAUAAAAUAAUUGAAAUAGUUGCCGAAGUGAGGCGAAAAAAAAUUUUCGAUCGUAAAGCACUCUCUGAUGCUUCGCAUCAUGAGUCGUGCAAUAAUUAACUUCCCGGUGAGAAAAUCGACGAUUUUUAAAAAAUUCGGGAAGUUAUUGGUUUUCCCCGAUUUUCGAAAAUCGGGUUAUCAUCAUAUGUCGACGUUUGAGAGUACUAGAAUGCUAUUCUGACAUUUUCAGAACGAUGUCUGUAUGUAUUACCGUACGAUGAACGAUGUGGCUCAAUAAGUUAUAGAUCAAAUUAAACGGAAUAUAGUAUAGUGCUGGAUAGCUCAACUGGUAGAGCACUUGGCACGAUACCGAAUUGGUCUGGGUUCGAUUCCCAGUGCGGGCUGUCUAUAUUUUUCUCAAUUUAUCUAUAAAUUGUCUUAUUGAGAAGGUUUGCAUGUUUAAGUUUCCACUAUAUUUAAAUGGUGUAUUACCGUACGAUGGACGAUGUGGCUCAAAGAAUUUCAGAUCAAAUUGAACGGAAUAUAGUAUAGUGCCGGAUAGCUCAACUGGUAGAGUGUAACGAUCGUUACAAAUGGAUCGCGAUUUAACCGUACUUUAAUUUAUCAAUUCUUCUAAAUUUUUUUUUUAUUUUUAUUAAAAUAAGAAUUUGACUGCGUAGUUCAAAGCACACCCAAUAAUAUGUAUAAAAAUGCGUGUACGUAUAUGUGAGGGUAUAUUCAUAUGUAUAUUCUUUCACACCUAUAUAUUCAUCUAGCUCUUUUUGGGUAUGUUCUGAAUUCUCACCGAAAGAGUGUGUGAAUACGAAUGGUCAAGUCAGAAGAGUGAGAGAGAAAGGAAAAUAAGAGUAACCAAGUAAGAAAACUCUGUAUAUCUCUCUCCCGCUAUGCACAGCUGCACCGCUACGGCUGGUCCCUUACGAAGAGCUCACUGUCUCAAUGUUUUUCACAUGUCCAACGCGAGUCCCUCAAAUCAUCAUAAAUGUCACAUAAAUUCAUUAAGAUAUUUCCGUGAUCUAGUUUGAAUUAAAUUUUAAUGUCUAAAUCAUAUUAGCUUAAAAAUUCUCCCUUAGAUCUAAAUUUUAUCACCCAAGCACUUAAUUUAACAUCAUCUAACAUCGAUGAAUAUUACAGUUCCCACGAAUUCUCUGUUGAUUUUAUUUACCCGAAAAGUAGAGUAAAGAGCUCCUGUCAUUUAAAUCAAAAUUUUAUUUCUUUCUGUCUUGCUGCUAAUGGAAUUAAAGAGUGCAUAUCCGCCCGCUAAUGAAACUAAUGGUUUCCCAUGGAUUCCGGUAGCCGAUAAUUUUUGAUGAUAUAAUUUUCAGAGGUCCAAAAAUUAAAAUAAAUGUCACUUAAAUUUACGAUCUCCUGUUAUUUUCUAUCAUCUCCAUACGGAGAUCAGAGGUAAAUUUUAAAAUGUUUUCUUAAAAAUUAAAUUAUCGCUUUUAAAAAUAUGUACCACUAAUGGAUUUAAGUAAUUAAUAUUUGGUCGUAAAUGAAUUAACCGUCUGUAUCUCUGAGUCCCUUACAAAUAGUAAAUUUUCUAAGAUGACAGGUUUCCGAGAAUGAAAGUAAAUGUCACUCAAAUUUAUGAUCUAAUCCUUUACUCUCACGCUCUCAAUAUUUUUAGCCCCACUUUUCUCCCAAAAUUUUCGUAUAUAAACCCCGGAAAAAUAAUUAAAAUCAGUCAUUACCGCCGCAACUAAAACCCUUGUCGGAUCUAUCCGCGAGCAAGAUUCCAAAAUUCGUUCUCGUGACGGUCCACAGCCUAGGCAACCGGACUCCUAGAUCGAUAACCGGAAUUCAAUUUUCUUUACUUUUGUAAUUUAAACCUUUGUCGGAUCCAUCUGCGAGUAAGACUCACUGAAUCGACUUCAAAAUUCGCUCUCGUGACGGUCCACAGCCUAGGCAACCGGACUCCUAGAUCGAUAAACGCAACUCGAUUCUUUUACUAAAAAUUAUAAAUUACGCGACUCAAAUUUUAUUUUUAAAACCUUUCCUCGUGACGGUCCUUCGCCUAGGCAUCUGGACUCCUAGGUUGGAUACCUAAAAUAAAAUCAUUUGAGUUCGCAUCAAAAUUAAUUAAACCCCUUCACGUGACGUCCAAAUCGGAGUCCUUGUUCAGGAAUAGUUAAUUCCGCUAAUAAAAACCUAAAAAUCAUAGCAAAUUCACUCGAAGGCAAAGCCGGCCUUUCGGUUCAGCGUGCAGUGCGUUCGUUUGAAUAGAUUCAACCUGUGAAUCUCAAUAAAACUGUCAUAAACAUUGUAAAUUCCUGUGUGCACAAAUUCAAAUUGGUGAAUUUGGAGUGAGUGUGUGUGCAAGUAUAUCAACCCUUCUGGGUAAGUCUAAAAUUAUAAUAUUUACAUGUAAGAUUCAACUUGUCAA